rnacentral:rRNA from 1 species
CUGGUUGAUCCUGCCAGUAGUCAUAUGCUUGUCUCAAAGAUUAAGCCAUGCAUGUCUAAGUAUAAGCAUUAUACAGUGAAACUGCGAAUGGCUCAUUAAAUCAGUUAUCGUUUAUUUGAUAAUACCUUACUACUUGGAUAACCGUGGUAAUUCUAGAGCUAAUACAUGCUGAAAAUCCCGACUUCGGAAGGGAUGUGUUUAUUAGAUAAAAAUCAACUUUGUUGGUGAAUCAUAAUAACUUCUCGGACCGCAUGGCCUCGUGCUGGCGGUGCUUCAUUCAAAUAUCUGCCCUAUCAACUGUCGAUGGUAGGAUAGAGGCCUACCAUGGUUACAACGGGUAACGGGGAAUAAGGGUUCGGUUCCGGAGAGGGAGCCUGAGAAACGGCUACCACAUCCAAGGAAGGCAGCAGGCGCGCAAAUUACCCAAUCCCGACACAGGGAGGUAGUGACAAUAAAUAACGAUGCGGGGCACGUAUGUGUUUCGCAAUUGGGAUGAGUACAAUGUAAAUACCUUAACGAGGAACAAUUGGAGGGCAAGUCUGGUGGG